rnacentral:rRNA from 1 species
AGUGAACGCUGGCGGUAGGCCUAACACAUGCAAGUCGAACGGCAGCACAGUAAGAGCUUGCUCUUACGGGUGGCGAGUGGCGGACGGGUGAGGAAUACAUCGGAAUCUACUUUUUCGUGGGGGAUAACGUAGGGAAACUUACGCUAAUACCGCAUACGACCUACGGGUGAAAGCAGGGGAUCUUCGGACCUUGCGCGAUUGAAUGAGCCGAUGUCGGAUUAGCUAGUUGGCGGGGUAAAGGCCCACCAAGGCGACGAUCCGUAGCUGGUCUGAGAGGAUGAUCAGCCACACUGGAACUGAGACACGGUCCAGACUCCUACGGGAGGCAGCAGUGGGGAAUAUUGGACAAUGGGCGCAAGCCUGAUCCAGCCAUACCGCGUGGGCGAAGAAGGCCUUCGGGUUGUAAAGCCCUUUUGUUGGGAAAGAAAAGCAGCAGGUUAAUACCCCGCUGUUCUGACGGUACCCAAAGAAUAAGCACCGGCUAACCUCGUG